rnacentral:misc_RNA from 1 species
GAAUUAAGGAUAUUCUUCUUUGUUACAUUGCUUUCAUCAAGACGCCUUAGGUGACUAGAAAUUAGUGUAUGCAUGCAUGCGUGUGAUGUUUUUUAAUUUGAUGAGUUCCUUUGCUUACUUUGCCUUUUUAUUCCAUUUUCCAUUUUUGUGAUUCAUGGUUUUGUUUCUGCUUUGAGAUUGAGAUGUCUCAUAUAUAUAUAUUUUGAAGUUUUUCUUUUUUACCCCUUCCUUAUUAUAAUGAGUUUGCACUUUGGAUCGAUU